ensembl:lncRNA
UAAGAUUAAGACAGGAUGCAAAAUAGGGAACAGAUGCCAGAGGAAUAGAAGGCUGCAAAAGAAGGAUACAGAGCUGUCCACCUGAGGAUGGUGUGGACCAUAUCCAUCUUCACUAAGAGCAUAUUGGAAAAUAACUUUAUUUUUUUUCCUUAGUGAACCAGGUGACAAAUACCCUCACCAGGACUGAUUUCAAGAUAUUGAUCUGACAUCACUGAACACAGAGAGUCUGAACACAGAAUUGAGAAGAAAUGACAACAGGAUGUUAUUAUAUAGUAUUUCCACCACCCAGGUGCAGAACCUCACUGACCCUUGUCAGAUUUGACCACAGACUUCACUGGGCAGAAAUGGCAUCAUGCUCACUCCAAGCAGGAACUUAUUUAAGAG